rnacentral:rRNA from 1 species
CCUACGGGUGGCAGCAGUGAGGAAUAUUGGUCAAUGGGAGAGAUCCUGCACCAGCCAAGCCGCGUGAGGGAAGACGGCCCUAUGGGUUGUACACCUCUUUUGUCGGAGAACAAAACCCGGGACGUGUCCCGGACUGCGUGUAUCCGAAGAAAAAGCAUCGGCUAACUCCGUGCCAGCAGCCGCGGUAAUACGGAGGAUGCGAGCUUUAUCCGGAUUUAUUGGGCGUAAAGGGUGCGCAGGCGGUCCUGCAAGUCUGGAGUGAAACGCAUGAGCUCAACUCAUGCAUGGCUUUGGAAACUGGAGGACUGGAGAGCAGGAGAGGGCGGUGGGACUCCAUGUGUAGCGGUAAAAUGCGUAGAUAUAUGGAAGAACACCAGUGGCGAAGGCGGCCGCCUGGCCUGUUGCUGACGCUGAGGCACGAAAGCGUGGGGAGCAAAUAGGAUUAGAUACCCCUGUAGUC